GUGGGGAUCUCAUCAGUGACCCUUGUGAGUUGGCCCCUCCUUCCCACCCAGGGGCUGUUUCACUGGCAGCUCUGGCCACACGCUCAGGAAUGUAACAAGCUCAAAAGGAAGAAAUUGAGAAGGUAGUGUUUUGAACACUUCCAAGCAUCUGACCUGACUGCCUCCCAGAUUCAUCGCCAGCAUUCGCAUGCUUGACUGCGCCCUGCCAAGUUUGAUGCACUGUCUCUACCAUGACACCCCGAGGAGGAACUUGGAUUUCACACCAG